AACGUAGGAGACAAACGUUAUCCGGAGUUACUGGGCGUAAAGGGCGUGUAGGUGGUUUCGUAAGUCUGGCGUGAAAUUUUUCGGCUUAACCGGGAAAGGUCGUCGGAUACUGCGGAACUAGAGGACGGUAGAGGCGUGUGGAAUUCCGGGUGUAGUGGUGAAAUGCGUAGAGAUCCGGAGGAACACCAGUGGCGAAGGCGGCGUCCUGGCUCGCAUCUGACGCUCAGACACGGACAGCAUGGGGGAGCGAACGGG
rnacentral:rRNA from 1 species